CUGCUGCCUUCCGUAGGAGUCUGGGCCGUGUCUCAGUCCCAAUGUGGCCGUCCACCCUCUCAGGCCGGCUACUGAUCUUUGCCUUGGUGUGCUUUUACCACUCCAACUAGCUAAUCAGACGCGGGUCCAUCUCAUACCAGAUUUCUCCUUUUCACACUAAAACAUGCGUUUCCGUGCGCUUAUGCGGUUUUACCACCAGUUUCCCGAUGCUAUCCCCCUGUAUGAGGCAGGUUGCCCACGCGUUACUCACCCGUCCCG
rnacentral:rRNA from 1 species